rnacentral:lncRNA from 1 species
ACGAAACAUAAUGUUUGUUGUUGUUUUUAGGGGGCGGAAUCGAAAAGGAAAAGGAAACUGUAAUGAGAGUGACUUGGCAGGCGGCCAAAGGCAACAGGUCGUUGGCUGGGGUAAAGGCCGAUGGGCUGGACUGAGAAAGUGUCCCCGGGCGGGCAGCGGCCACCUUAACUCCUGGACGGAAUGGCUUUCGAGGAAACGCUGCAGUUCCACUAGGAGGCACCCUGACACACGCAUUUCCAGAGGGAGGGAUAACGGAAGCCAAAGUGUAAGGAAGAACAGAAGGAUCCAAGUGUGAGAAAGCCCACCCUGAGUCUCUCAGAGGUGAUUAUGACUGUGUGAGCAUGGAUUCAUUUCACUACCAGGUCAAAGACACAAUCAAAAGCCCGACAAAUGGAAUUUGUGGAAUUGGAACAAAAAGCUUUUCUUCCUAGGCACAAGAACAUCAAAGCAUAAAUCCUUCAGGUAUCAGCAAUGACAUCACUUAAGAAUUUCUCAGAAUCUUUGGCACCACCCCAGGCCUACCGGAUCAGAAUCUGAAUUUUUUAACAAGAUCUCAGAUCUAGUCAAGAGUCCAGUCUGAUUUCUCUUUAUUGGGACUACCACCCAAAGCAGAAUGAGGAUGAUGUAACCACGCCCAGUGACUUCUGGAUACCACUGACUCUAGAUGAGCAAGGAGAGACUCAGAGGAAGUCAGCGUUACUCGAUUAGAAAGUGACUGUGGCACUACCAUAGUAGUAAAAUCUACCAUGGCAGAGAAAAUGCCAUAUGUUCACCUUGCCAGUCGUUUUUCUUUUUCCUCCUGGGUUUAUAGGAAGAUGGCAGCCCCUGGCUCCCCUGCAAUCAGGCAGGGCCAUGUGACUGAGUCUUAGCUCACCAAUGUGGGAGAAAGUGAUGUGUGACACAUUAAGGCCAGGCCACUGAAACCUCUCAUGGGAACUUCCAUACUCACUUCCCUCAUCUGCUAGCCAACCCAAAAGAUUGAGUGGAGGAUUUUACAGCCCCAGGGCCUAGAGAUGCUGGAAAGAAGCCUGAUUCAGCCCUGAAUGAACCUGUGCAAAGGUGCCUCUGACCUCCAACCCUUGUUGGACUAGGAUGUUGGAAAAUACUGUGUUAAGCUACUGGGAUUUCAAAGUUGUUUGUCAUAGCAGCUAGCCAUAUUUACUCUACCUGAUAGAUCUAUGUUCUGUAAUUACAGUGUUUGCCUUUCAUGUCCUAAGGGUAAAUAAGUGAUAUAUGCAACAAUAAACUGUGAUGUACUAUAUAUUGUUUUUAUUACAUUAAAAUUCUUAAAAUUUGCUUUUUCA